AAACUGUAGAGUUUGAUUCUGGCUCAGAAUGAACGCUGGCGGCGUGCUUAACACAUGCAAGUCGAACGAGAAAGGUGGUGCUUGCACCGCCGAGUAGAGUGGCGCACGGGUGAGUAACGAGUAGAUAAUCUACCUUUGAAUCAGGGAUAACUAUG
rnacentral:rRNA from 1 species